AUUGAACGCUGGCGGCAGGCUUAACACAUGCAAGUCGAGCGGAGAUGAGGUGCUUGCACCUUAUCUUAGCGGCGGACGGGUGAGUAAUGCUUAGGAAUCUGCCUAUUAGUGGGGGACAACAUUCCGAAAGGAAUGCUAAUACCGCAUACGCCCUACGGGGAAAGCAGGGGAUUUUCGGGCCUUGCGCUAAUAGAUGAACCUAAGUCGGAUUAGCUAGGUGGGGGGGGAAAGGCCAACCAAGGGGAAGAUCUGUAGCGGGGCUGAGAGGUGGAGCCGCCACACUGGGACGGAGCCACGGCCCAGGCUCCUACGGGAGGCAGCAGUGGGGAAUAUUGGACAAUGGGCGGAAGCCUGAUCCAGCCAUGCCGCGUGUGUGAAGAAGGCCUUUUGGUUGUAAAGCACUUUAAGCGAGGAGGAGGCUACCUGGAUUAAUACUCUAGGAUAGUGGACGUUACUCGCAGAAUAAGCACCGGCUAACUCUGUGCCAGCCGCCGCCGUAAUAC
rnacentral:rRNA from 1 species